rnacentral:tRNA from 1 species
GGGGCUGUAGCUCAGUGGCAGAGUGCAUGCCUAGCAUGUGUGAGGCACUGGGUUCGAUCCUCAGCACCACA